rnacentral:misc_RNA from 1 species
GGUCUAACAGCUGAUGCCAGGCUCCUCAGUAACUUCAUGAGAUCAGAGUGCUUGAACUCCAGAUAUGCUUACGAUUCUCCUCUGCCAGUUUCUAGACUUGUGUCAGCAGUUGGAAACAAAUCACAAAUUCCCACACAGAGGUACGGCCGACGGCCAUUCGGAGUAGGCUUGUUGGUUGCUGGAUAUGAUGAUCAAGGACCCCACAUUUACCAGACCUGUCCCUCUGCCAACUACUACGACUGUAAGGCGAUGGCCAUUGGCGCCCGGUCACAGUCGGCAAGGACGUACGUGGAGAAACACCUGGACAAAUUCUUAGAGUGUUCAUUAGAUGAGUUGAUAAAACAUGGACUGAGAGCUCUCAGGGAAACUCUGCCACAAGAAGUGGAACUCACAACAAAGAACUGUUCUCUAGGAAUUGUUGGAAAAGAUAUGGAAUUCACCAUUUAUGACGAUGACGAUGUUCAAAAAUAUUUGGCGAUGAUUGAGGGAGAAGAAAGGUCAAGGGCAGCCCCUCCAGCUGAUCAGGCUGCUAUGGACACUCAAGAAGGGGAGGGACAACAACCCGCCGACCCCCAGCCCGCAGACCCUGCAGUAGAGGAACAGGGCAUGGAGCACUGACCAUGACAUGCUUCAUCAUCAUUCUGUGACAUCUCACUUCCAAAAACUCAACCUAAUGAAAAUAGUGCUAUCACCGUGUCUCGUAUUUUCUUAAUUUGCAAAUGAUUGUAAAAGACUUUGUACAUCUUUACAUAAACUUGUGCUGAACCACAGUUUUGUGAAAUAAAUUAGUAAUGUAUGAAAAAG